rnacentral:lncRNA from 1 species
UUCACCCUUAGCUGUCCCCUUUGAUUGAAUCGAACAUGUCCGAUGGCAGUGGCUCAGAUAAUCAACAUCAGCCAUCCUCCUCUUCUGCUGCCUCGAAAGCUCCAAUCCAACCACAUGUGCCGUUUACCCUACAGUCCACGGCAAACUCUGGAAAUAGGACGUUUACACCUCAGCCACUUCCACAUUCUUCCACAAAGCCCAACAAUCCAUGGCUCCAUAUGGAUUCACAACAAAACGUCUUACAAAACAGUCCAGCGAUUAGAUUUCAGUUUGAGAGCCCAUUACCAAAUCGAGAGAUGGGAGAGACUUCAGACUUCUUUCCACUGAGCUGUUUAAAGAGCAGCGAGGACACUGACAAUGAAGGUACAAAACAAAUGUAGUUGCAAGCGGAAACUUUGACUCCAUUAUGCUUGCCUUGUUUACUGUUUGUUGCUAGGUUACCAA